rnacentral:lncRNA from 1 species
AUAUCUAUCCCCCGCGCUAUCUCCCCCAUUUUCUCGCGGGCCGUUCAGGUUCCCGUCCUGCUGGCUCCGAGGACCCUCCCGCCCCAGCGCCCUCGCCCCGUCCUCGCCUCCCUCCGCCCCGGAGCGCGCACCCACCCGGGCGGCAAAGUUGUGACUACUUGGGCGCGGGUGGCUCGCGCCCCGCUCGCUCCGCGCCUCGCACCAACUUCCCGCGGUUCGGCCCCGCCGCGCCCCGAGCCCGCGCCUCCGGGGAUCCCGCGGGCCCCCAGCUUCCAGCCCCGGCGGCGCGCCGGGCAGCGCUUCGGUGGCGGCGGCGGCGGCGCAGGCGGUGGCGGCGGCGGCGGCGGCGGCGGCGGCGGCGGCGGCUGCAGCCCCACACUCAGCCGCCAAACUGGAGGAGCGACGGAAGCCGGACCCGAGGAGGUGAGCGCCCGGCCGGGGCCGGGGAGGGAGGGUCGGCCGACUCCCCCGCCUCCCGGCGGCGGCGGGCGCUGGGGCGGCGGGGGCCCGGGGCAGGUCUCGGAGGGGGCUCAGGCGGCCUCUGGCGCGCGCCGGGAGGGAGAGAGAGGUCAGUUGCGGGCCGGGCAUCCCGGGGCUGGGCGCUGGCGGAGUGUGCAAGCCGAGGACGCGGAAAAGUACUUUUUUUCUUCUUCGCGUUUAGAGGAAGAGUUUGGGUGGUCCUGUUUCUCCCCCACUGUAAAGCCCUCAGCUCGUAACCCGGCGUUGCCGCCCGGACUGGGGGGCCACUGUACCCCGCGGGCUGGGCUCCGGCGCAGUGACACGUGUGUUCCUGUGAGCCUGGGUGGCCCCAGUGUGGCUGGGCACCUGCUUGAGAGGGUAACGUCCCCAAACCCACUAGCGGGGGAGGCUUGGGGGGGGGAACUUAAGGUGCCGCCGAGACCGCGGCCCCCACUUCACUGCCAGCUCCGAGAUGGAGCAUUCACAUCUUUCCCUGGCACGUCGAAAGCGGGGGUGAGUCAGGCAGAUUCUCUGCAAGUGGCACACACACAAUUAUUUGCAAUGGAUUUGGAAAGGGUAGGCAGAGGUUAA